rnacentral:sRNA from 1 species
UCCUUUUUGCUGGGUUCCUGGGUUUUGUCAGCCUUAUUUGACUUUCUCCUCAUCGAAGCUAUGCAGUAUUUCUUUGGCAUCACUGCAGCUAGUAAUUUGCCUUCUGGAUUCCUGGCACCUGUGUUUGCUCUGUUUGUACCAUUUUACUGCUCCAUACCAAGAGUCCAAGUGGCACAAAUUCUGGGCCCGUUGUCCAUCACAAACAAGACAUUGAUUUAUAUAUUGGGACUGCAGCUUUUCACCUCUGGUUCCUACAUCUGGAUUGUAGCCAUAAGUGGACUUAUGUCCGGUCUGUGCUACGACAGCAAAAUGUUCCAGGUGCAUCAGGUGCUCUGCAUCCCCAGCUGGAUGGCAAAAUUCUUUUCUUGGACACUUGAACCCAUCUUCUCUUCUUCAGAACCCACCAGCGAAGCCAGAAUUGGGAUGGGAGCCACGCUGGACAUCCAGAGACAGCAGAGAAUGGAGCUGCUGGACCGGCAGCUGAUGUUCUCUCAGUUUGCACAAGGGAGGCGACAGAGACAGCAGCAGGGAGGAAUGAUCAAUUGGAAUCGUCUUUUUCCUCCUUUACGUCAGCGACAAAACGUAAACUAUCAGGGCGGUCGGCAGUCUGAGCCAGCAGCGCCCCCUCUAGAAGUUUCUGAGGAACAGGUCGCCCGGCUCAUGGAGAUGGGAUUUUCCAGAGGUGAUGCUUUGGAAGCCCUGAGAGCUUCAAACAAUGACCUCAAUGUCGCCACCAACUUCCUGCUGCAGCACUGAUAUUCCCAGGCCAACACUGGGACCGGACCGGCAGCCGAGUGACAGUGCGUGGUCCCCACCAUCAGAUCAGCCCGGGGACCGAGCAUCUCUGGUGCUGAUGUUCUUGUGGGAAGAGGGAGGUUCCACCACACCCCUGCCCUCAACCGCAAGACUGUUGUCGUUUUAGUGUGGAGAUAAGUUUGCCAUUACAUUAGCAUGUAUUUUCUAUCUAUAUUUUUUAUUGGGCAUUUUCCCUAGGUUGGAGAGUCAGCACUCGUUUUGAAUGUGUUUAAAAUGCAUUAAAAUGGAAGAUUUCUGCAGGCAGUUGAAUGGCACUCCAGAUGGGGAAUUGCUGUAACCCUCUUACUGUAACGUGUCAUCUCCUGCGUCGUGAUGGGGAGAGGGUAAUGUUAUUUCACAAAGGACAUGUCAGAUCCUUCUUCAUGGACUUUUUUAGUUACUGUUUUUUCUCUCAAACUUGUUUUCGAAUCUCCUGGGAGUGAGGGAGAAACGGGGAGCUGAAUCCUCCCCCAAGCUGUUCCAGGCCAGAGGACUCUGCAGUACCUUCUCCUACAUCUAGUAACAAAGAAUGGUGAUAACCAUGCACUGGUUCAAGGUUCUGGAGUUCUCCAUGAAACUUGGGUUAAUUUUGCUCAGAGUAUCCAGAGUUAGCCACUAGGCUGCGGGUGAAAUGGGAUGGAGAAGAACAACAGCAGGCUUUCUGGAGCCACAUGGGCUGACUAGGGCACUCUGUGGCUGGCCUGGCAUGGGCUCAGCCCAGGAAGAGGAGAAACGAUCCCUUGCCUGCCCCUCCCUGUGGCAGGGCUAACUGCCUGGCCCUCCUGGCUCGCAGCCAGCCAGCCCCCUGGCAGCAGGUUCUCCUCAGGGCUUGGGUCUUCAACCUGUGGCGACAGGAGGCAGGGCAGACUGUGGAGGUCAGGAUGCAGGUCAGGGAGAGGGAAGGCAGGGGUGGACCGCCAUGAGCAUGAAAAGACCCGAAGCAAGUUGACUCUUGCAAUGUGCAACUGUUACGUUCUGCAAAAUGAGCAACGAUGUAUCAAAUUGAUGCAAAUUUAGAUGUUGAUACUUACAAUAAAGUUUUUAAUGUGUUUUACUCUUC